rnacentral:rRNA from 1 species
GUGUCAGCCGCCGCGGUAAUACAGAGGAUGCAAGCGUUAUCCGGAAUGAUUGGGCGUAAAGCGUCCGCAGGUGGUUUAGAAAGUCUGCUGUUAAAGCGUGUAGCUCAACUACAUACAGGCAGUGGAAACUAUUAGACUAGAGUAUGUUAGGGGUAGAGGGAAUUCCCAGUGUAGCGGUGAAAUGCGUAGAGAUUGGGAAGAACACCGGUGGCGAAAGCGCUCUGCUAGGACAAUACUGACACUGAGGGACGAAAGCUAGGGGAGCGAAUGGGAUUAGAUACCCCAGUAGUCCUAGCCGUAAACGAUGGAUACUAGGCGUUGCCCGUAUCGACCCGGGCAUUGUCGUAGCUAACGCGUUAAGUAUCCCGCCUGGGGAGUACGCACGCAAGUGUGAAACUCAAAGGAAUUGGCGGGG